GGAUUACAGGCGUGAGCCACCGUACCUGGCCUAAAACUGUUUUGCCUCCUAAGAAAAAGCCAAAUGGAAGAGAAAGAAAAUGCCCCCGACAGCCAAAGAAGCUGAAAUUCUCAGAAGCCUAGAGUCGGCUGCUGGAGGAUAGAGCCAAAACUGCUCCAACUUCUUCCUGGAAGCGCACGUGGGGUCCCCUGAGACGUCCACUGGCCUGCACGUCACCAUGGAAUUGCAGGGUUGGGACAUUUUCAUAGUGAGAAACGCUGAGGAACUCUUGACAUGAAAACUCCAGUGGAAGAUGGAAACUGUGAUGACAGAAAUGGCACUGACCAGCCAGGCCCUGCCUGUGCCCUGCUUGGAACAUUGAUUGACAGAAAUGGCGCUGACCAGCCAGGCCCUGCCCGUGCCCUGCUUGGAACAUUGAUUGACAGAAAUGGCGCUGACCAGCCAGGCCCUGCCUGUGCCCUGCUUGGAACAUUGAUCAUGUGUUUGACCUUGACAUCAGCUUUCCGACACAAACACAGACUUGGGCACACACAAACACGCCCAGUAAAAAUAGUCUGAAUUAAGCCUUCCAGAUGCGUACUCCCUUCUUUCCUGAGGCAGAUGAAGUAGAGAAGAAUGAAGGCAAUUAACAAAUCUGGACGAAUCCACCCCAGAAGCAGCUCCUGCUGCACCCACCUCAGCAAAGAAUCCAGAGGCGACCCCUCCUCUCCAUCUGCUCCUCCUCCAGGCCACUGUCCUCUCUAACCCUUCUCACUGGCCCCUGCCUCCACUCUUGUCAGACAGCAAGCUACAGAAUAACUGGGGAAAUACUUUUUAAAAA
rnacentral:lncRNA from 10 species